rnacentral:rRNA from 1 species
GUGCCAGCAGCCGCGGUAAUACGUAGGGGGCGAGCGUUGUCCGGAUUUACUGGGCGUAAAACGCUUGUAGGCGGCCACGCCAAGUCGGAUGUGAAAUCUCCCGGCUUAACUGGGAGGGGUCAUGCGAUACUGGCGGGCUCGAGGCAGGUAGGGGGAAGCGGAAUUCCCGGUGUAGUGGUGGAAUGCGUAGAUAUCGGGAGGAACACCAGUGGCGAAGGCGGCUUCCUGGACCUGUUCUGACGCUGAGGAGCGAAAGCGUGGGGAGCGAUCCGGAUUAGAUACCCGGGUAGUCC